UUUAAACUUGAGAGUUUGAUCAUGGCUCAGAACGUACGCUGGCGGCACGCCUAACACAUGCAAGUCGAACGAAGUAGCAAUACUUAGUGGCA
rnacentral:rRNA from 1 species